UCCAGGCCCUACGGGGUGCAGCAGACGCGAAACCUUUACAAUGCGCGAAAGCGUGAUAAGGGGACUCCAAGUGCCGAUGGGAAACCACCGGCUUUUGUCAAGUGUAAACAGCUUGAUGAAUAAGGACUGGGUAAGACCCGUGCCAGCCGCCGCGGUAAUACGGGCAGUUCAAGUGGUAUCCACGUAUAUUGGGCUUAAAGCGUCCGUAGCUGGUUCAGCAAGUUUCUAGUGAAAGCUCGCAGCUUAACUGAUGAGAGUUGCUAGAAAUACUGUUGGACUUGGAGGCGGGAGAGGUAAGAGGUACUUUUGGGGUAGCGGUUAAAUGUGUUAAUCCUGAAAGGACCACCAGUAGCGAAGGCGUCUUACUAGAACGCACUCGACGGUGAGGGACGAAGGCUAGGGGAGCAACCCGGAUUAGAUAUUUGAAAAAAUUAAUUUUUUCAAAUUUUAGUUUUUUCAAACUAAAAACCCGGUUAGUCCUAGCAGUAAAUUAUGCAGACUAGGUGUCCCGUAACUCACGAGGUUAUGGGGUGCCGAAGGGAAACCGUUAAGUCUGCCGCCUGGGAAGUACGGUCGCAAGACUGAAACUUAAAGGAAUUGGCGGGAGAGCACCACAAGGGGUGGAGGCUGCGGUUUAAUUGGAUACAACGCCGGACAUCUCACCGGAGGAGACGGCAGUAUGAAGGUCAGUCUGAAGGGCUUACCUGACUCGUCGAGAGGUGGUGCAUGGCCAUCGUCAGCUCGUGCUGUGAAGUGUCCUGUUAAGUCAGGUAACGAGCGAGACCCACGCUCUUAGUUGCAAACCUUUUCAUUACGAAAAGGUGCACUCUAAGAGGACUGCAAGUGCUAAACUUGAGGAAGGUGUGGGCGACGGUAGGUCUGUAUGCCCCGAAUCUUCCGGGCUACACGUGGCCUACAUUGGUAAGCACAACGAGACGCAACCCUGAAAAGGGAAGCUAAUCUCUUAAAACUUAUCUAAGUCUGGAUCGAGGGUUGAAACUCACCCUCGUGAAAAUGGAAUCCCUAGUAAUCGCGGAUCACUAUUCCGCGGUGAAUAUGUCCCUGCUCUUUGCACACACCGCCCGUC
rnacentral:rRNA from 1 species